rnacentral:rRNA from 1 species
UGGGUGACCUGCCCUCAGCUCUGGGAUAAAGCCCGGGAAACUGGGUCUAAUACCGGAUACGACCUCCGCGGGCAUCUGCGGAGGUGGAAAGGUUUUCCGGCUGAGGAUGGGCCCGCGGCCUAUCAGCUAGUUGGUGGGGUGAUGGCCCACCAAGGCGACGACGGGUAGCCGGCCUGAGAGGGCGACCGGCCACACUGGGACUGAGACACCGGCCCAGACUCCGUACGGGAGGCA